CUUUGUCUGCCUUUCAGUUUGCCUACCUCUUAAGGCAUUUUCUCCUUUCUUCUCCAUCCUGAGAACGAAUCACAUCAUGGUCCUUGUACUAUCCACCCUUCUGUUCCUAACCCUUCUGAGCUGGUCUCCCUGAUCUCAUCUCGUUUCUGCAGCCCUUCUCCCACUUCUUAAGCUCCCAUGUCUUCCUUAUGUGACAUGUUAUCUGCCUCAUCCUGAAUCUUGCAGCCCUUGUCCCAGAUGAUUAUCCAUUAGCCACUGAAGCUAUUUAAGUUCAAAUUCAAAUUAAAAUGUCAGUAGCUCAUGUUCACUAGCCACGUUUCAAGUGUUCAAAAGCUGCAUUUGACCACGCUAUCUUAUUGGACAGGGCCAACAUAGAACAUUUCGAUCAUUGCAGUGGUUAGGACCAUUUUUUAGUUAAUGGAUCUUUAAUUAAUUAAUUUAUAUGUGGUGUUGAGAACCAAACCCUGUGCCUCACAUAUACUAGGCAAGCACUCUACUACUGAGCUUCAACCCUAGCCCCGAGAAUUGGAUUUUAAUUCAAGAGGCCAGGCUGACUCCAAAGUCCCUGUAGAACAUGUUCCUUUGGGGUCUCGUGGUGUGCCCUGGGGUGUCCAACUUAAACUCUACCUUCAGAAUGGAGCUUCAAGAAGGCAGAAACCAUGUUCCUACUGGCCGGCAGAUGAGUAUUUAGUAAACAUUUGAAGAGUGAGUAAAUGAACAACACCAGAAGAUGAUAGGUGCUUUGUCCAAGAGCUUUCUGGUGGCUUUUCUUCUCAACCAUAUCAGAGUUAUAUGCAGUUUGAUCUUUUAGAAAUUGCUAUCUUCAUAAUGACAUUUUUGCAUCCAGUUUACAGAUUCUUAGCUACCAGUCAGUACCUGAAUUCAUAGACCUUCUGUGGCCUUGAAACAGAAAUGAUGGCCAAGUCCCUCAAAGGUGCUUUACAG
rnacentral:lncRNA from 1 species